UCUGUGGACUGUCUUGGGCAGCAUGCAGUGCUUUCUGGCCGCAGAUUCUUAUACAUCGUCAAUCUAGAUGCCCCUUUCGAAGGUCACCGAAAGAUCUCUCGCCAGAGCAAAUGGGACAUUGGAGCUGUGCAGUGGAAUCCUCAUGACAGCUUUGCACACUAUUUUGCGGCUUCGAGUAACCAACGAGUAGACCUUUACAAGUGGAAAGACGGCAGUGGGGAAGUUGGCACAACCUUACAAGGCCACACUCGUGUCAUCAGCGACUUGGACUGGGCGGUGUUUGAGCCUGACCUCCUGGUUACCAGCUCUGUGGACACCUACAUCUACAUUUGGGAUAUCAAAGACACAAGGAAACCUACUGUUGCACUGUCUGCUGUUGAAACCCAGUACAGCAGUGGAAUAUCUAGCCGCCCACCUCUCCAAAAUCCAUGGCCUGGACUGGCACCCAGACAGCGAGCACAUUCUUGCUACCUCCAGUCAAGACAAUUCUGUGAAGUUCUGGGAUUACCGCCAGCCUCGGAAAUACCUCAAUAUUCUUCCUUGCCAGGUG
rnacentral:sRNA from 1 species